UCCGGCUUGUCACCGGCAGUUCCCCUAGAGUGCCCAACUUAAUGCUGGCAACUAAGAUCAAGGGUUGCGCUCGUUGCGGGACUUAACCCAACAUCUCACGACACGAGCUGACGACAACCAUGCACCACCUGUCACUCUGUCCCCGAAGGGAAAUCCCUAUCUCUAGGGGUGUCAGAGGAUGUCAAGACCUGGUAAGGUUCUUCGCGUUGCUUCGAAUUAAACCACAUGCUCCACCGCUUGUGCGGGUCCCCGUCAAUUCUUUUGAGUUUCAGCCUUGCGGCCGUACUCCCCAGGCGGAGUGCUUAAUGCGUUAACUCCAGCAUCAAGGGGCGGAAACCCCCUGACACCUAGCACUCAUCGUUUACGGCGUGGACUAC
rnacentral:misc_RNA from 1 species